rnacentral:rRNA from 1 species
GAUGAACGCUAGCGGCAGGCCUAAUACAUGCAAGUCGAACGGUGUAGCAAUACACAGUGGCGCACGGGUGCGUAACACGUAUGCAACCUACCUUACAUUGGGGGAUAGCCUUUCGAAAGGGAGAUUAAUACCGCAUAAGACAGUAACUAGGCAUCUAAUAGCUGUUAAAGAUUUAUCGAUGUAAGCUGGGCAUGCGUCCAAUUAGUUAGUUGGCGAGGUAAUGGCUCACCAAGACGAUGAUUGGUAGGGGAACUGAGAGGUCAAUCCCCCACACUGGCACUGAGAUACGGGCCAGACUCCUACGAGAGGCAGCAGCAGGGAAUAUUGGGCAAUGGGCGCAAGCCUGACCCAGCCAUGCCGCGUGCAGGAAGAAGGCGUUAUGCGUUGUAAACUGCUUUUAUACAGGAAGAAACGACCCUUGCGAGGGGCAUUGACGGUACUGUGUGAAUAAGCACCGGCUAACUCCGUGCCAGCCGCCGCGGUAAUAC